ACCAGCUUUGGGUGGCAGUUCAGGCUCUAGAGCUCCCUGCGGGCUCAGGCUGGCCUCUGCCCGAGGUCACAGCUUUUCUUAGCUCCUUUUGUGUCCUGCCUCCCUCCCUCCCCACCUCCGGAGAGCCUCCCCACUGAUUCACGGCACCCCAAUCCUGCUAUGGGGUCCACUUCUAGAGAACUGACCCUAAGUCACUUCCUUCUGCUUUUUAAGUUUCUCUUCUCUCUCUUCCCUGCUAGGAAAUCAGGAGAGCGUGACCUCAUGGAAACCCAGUCAUCAGCAGGAGAGAGACCGGCAGCAUCGGACGAGGGAGGCCGUCACAGAAUCAGGACCAAAGCUCGCUGGCCUUGGCGUUGGAAGGUUUAUUGGUGGCCUCCUGUCUAAUUGAAUAUCAAGAUGAGAAACUGAAGCACCAAGGGAAGAAGCAUAUUGAUCAAGGAGCCACAGCUAGACAUUGCUGGAGGCGGAGAUGUGAAGGAGAUCGAGGGUAGUUCAUUGCUAAGGUCAACCCUUUAAAACCUGCUGCAGGCAAUUUAAGGGAGGGUGUGUACCUUGGUGUCAGGCAGAUCUGCACUCUGAUCUGGGUGCUGUGAUUUUCUCAUUGUGUGGUUCUGAAAGACUGAGGCUUAGUUCCCCAUUCUCAUUACAAUAUGGAAACAUGAAUGGGAACCUCGCAGAACCAUGGUAGUUGGCUACAUUGGUAGCCCCCAAUGAAACAGGUCCCCUGGGCUUUGAAUCGAGGUUAUGUUUAUGGCUUCUUUUAACCGAAAGAACAUGGUAGAACUUCUAAUAAUACUGAAGUGUAAAUUGUUACUUUUUCUAAGGUUGUGAUUCUCAGUGGGAGCCCAUUUUACCCUCCACCCCAGGGACAUUUGGCCAUGUAUAGAGACAUUUUUUAGUGGCCCAACUAGAAGAGUAUUCCUGGCACCUAGUGAGCAGAGACCAGGGAUGAUGGUAAAUGUCCUUUAUCGUACAGGAUGGGUGUCUGCCACCCCCGCCCCAACAAAGAAUCAUCCAACCCUAUACGUCAGUAGUGCUCUAGUUAAGAAGCCCUACUCUAAAAGACAUAGCCUGGGAACUGGCCCUAAGUCUCCAUAUAAGAAAACCAGUUACCUUGCUAGAAAGACAAUGUAACGUGGCUACCUGGAAUUGAUGAGGCCACCUUGAGAAGAAGAAGCCCUCAGACUCCCUGGAGAGAGCAAGAGAGGCCCAGCCAUCCCAUUCUUCCAGAAGAGCUCAGCCCACCACACCUUCCAUAGCAGCCAAAUACAGCCAAUGAGUGAUCACCAGCAGGCCUGCAGAAGAACUGCCCAGCUGAGCCCAGCACAGUUUGCAGAGUCACGAGCAAGAUGGAAAUGUUUGUUUGCUUCAGGAGAAUCAGUGGAUUGAAAUCACAACCUCAGAUGGCUACCAUGAGGCUAACCUCAGUUUAAAGGACUUCAGAUUUCCAUACUGAAUAUCUGGGAGGUUCCUAGUCAACAAGAGUCCACUUUCUGGGUGUGGAUGGAAUAAGAACACAGGGUGAUGGAUGGUGUCAAGGAUAUUUCACAACAGCCACUCAAGAGGCUUGUGAACUGAACCAGCCUCUUACUGGAGAUGCCAUUUCUGGACCAGUGUGCUAAUGUUUCCCGGAUCCAGUGACCCUCCUCCUGCACUUGGCUGAUCCUGUUUCCUCAUCCCAGACAAUGAGAGUUGAAACUGGAGGAGAGCCCUUCUGUGCCCAUGAACCAGCAGAAAUUUUAUAAGAAAAGCCAGUGGGCUCCCAGACAAAGUUAAAAAGCUUCUUGCUGCAAGCCUGGGUGGCUCCUAUCCUCAGGACCAGUGAUGUUCAUCCAUCUUCCCUGAUUAUGCAACUAAGUAGAUAAUGGGGCCAGAGCGCCUGGUUUCGCCUUACUACUAGCAUUGUGCCACCUGAUGCAGGUCUCAGCCUUCUUCCAUCACGGAAGGCCUUGGGCUUUGCCUGUUGGAUUUCUCUCUUCUAAGAAGCAUCUGCUCCCGCCCCAACGCUGAGGAUACCGGCCUUUUUCAUCCCCAGUCCCAGCUGCUUUUAAUUUCAUAAUUACAGCCAGGAGCAGAGCACUCUGUUCCUUGUUGACUCAGGAGCAAGGGAUGCAGGGAUUCUCAACCUGGGGCUCCUUCCUCCUGCCUGGCUCCUCUCAGUAACACUUCCCUUUCCCAGAACUCGCCCUGAGUCCCCUGCAAGGAGCAGCCUUCCCUGAUCAACACUGAGUCUCUUCGAGGGGCUCCCCCAGUCUAUCCAUCCUGGCCCUGGGGACCUCAUGGAUUUUGGCUUUCAAUCUCUCAUAACUAGCAAAGUUUCCAAAACAUAGGAGAGAAACAUGCUUCUUGACAGAUGAAGGCAAGAAGGAAUGAAUGAAGAAAUAAGCUUGGGCUGGUGUUCAGGCUCCCAUUUAAUUUAGAGGAACAUAUGCAGGCUCGUUGGAUGGAGGCCUCCGGGUCAGGAUUCCGGGAACAGACACCAGUAGUUGUUGAUUACAUCAAACACAUCCCCAGGCCUGUGAAGGAGGCGACCCCAGCAUCAGGAGCAGCUCCCUGCAGGGCAGGCUCCGGUGCUUUUCCAGGGAAGUCCCGAGGUGCUCUGGACCAAAGCCCCAGUCGCCUGCCUGCUUCCUCCUAGCAAGGACAUUGGCCAGGAGUGCAGAGUUCAGUGCCCUCAAAUACCAGGUAUGUUCCAAUGUCAGUUCACUUCAUUAUCCAGAAAUUCCCACUGCAGAGGCUUUAUAGAUGUACAAGCUCAGGCUCCAGGGGCUAAUGAUUUCACUCUCAGACACAGAGAUUGUACUGGAGUUAGAGUCCAACUCAGGCCUGUCUCUCAAAUCUACGCUUGUCUGCCUGUUUCCAGCUGGGCAACCUCUCAGGGGUACAUUGUAUGUGCCGGGAUUGAGGUAGGAGCUGCUCUCCAGGAAGAGAGGGCAGCCAGAGGUGCUUGCAAAGAUGGGAGCUGGGCAUCAGCAGUGGUAAUACUCCCUGGGGAUCCCGGGCCAGUGUCUGAGGACACCCCACCUCUCUGUCUCACCCAAGCCUCACACUACCCCCAAAAUGGCUGAUGCCCUUGUGCCCAUUUUACAGAGCAGCAAACUGAGGCCAGCAUGGAAUGAGCAAGCCUGGGCAGUGAGGCAGGGCUGGUGGAGCCCAGGAGAGUCGUCAGCAUGAGGAAGUCUCUUCAGGGUGUCCUGGCAGGUUGCAGGGCAGGGCACAUGCAGGAGGUGACUGCUGUCGGUGAUGCAGGGGUGGAGCUGAGGCAGUGGAAGGUGACUGGAAGAGGCUGGUGCCUGGGAGCAGAGCGGAUGAUCUAAGAGGGGACAGAGAAGAUGAGGGAGGGAGAGCUUUCUCCCCAGGGAGCCGUUUUCUGAAGACUCAGUCUGGGACACAAGGUGGGGCUGCCUUUGGGCUGAGGCAGAAACUGAGUUCUCAGGAGGCCUGGUGUCAAGACUGACCUGCAGGGAGUGAAGUUUUAGGGCCGAGAGUGGACAAAUAGGGAAGUCGACCCCAGCAUCUGGGCUGAGCCUCUCAGUGGGGUCCCUCAAUUCCCGGGGUGGGAGGUGGGCAUCCUGCAGACAGGGUGUCCCACCCUCCAUCUCUCUAUGGAGAGUCCAUUUCUCUGGUCUCCUGUGAAGCAGGUGGCUGCUGGCUUCUUCAUGGGAGCAGGACUCAUUUCACAGCUGGGCACUUCCUGGGCUGAGGCACCAUUACUGCUUCCAGAAAAGUGCCUAUGGGGCCUGUGGGUAGGAGUGGGGAGGAGGAAGCGAGCCCUUCCUACUGCCUGGCUGAGCCCUGCUCAGGUUUCUCCCAGGGAAGAAGAACCCUUGUCACAAAAGACUCUGGAUUUUCCCAGCACGUUAGGGAAGGCCCCAGGGUCUCUGUCCUUGGGAAGAGGGAUCUACAAGACAUCAGAGGAUGGGGGUUAAGUGGGAAGGAGAGAAGCAAGGAGGGAGAGUCAGAGAGUGGCAGCCACCCCAUGCCUGGAGCCCUGGCCAUGUGCGUCCAUGCACUCAGGCUUCCACACAGAGUCUGCUGCUGAGCCAUGCAAGAUGGAGUCUCUCUGUCCUUGUUCACUGUAAAUAACCGCUCUGCACCAACUCUGCACCAGGCCCUGCCAUGGUGAGGAAAGGGGUUGGCAUUAGGUGAGCUGGGUCUGGAUCAGGGGCUCUGUGGGAGAGGCGGCAUUGAGCCUGGUCUGUCAAAGAGUUUUCUCCCAUUUGUCACAACCCUAGAAUCUCCCCUCCUGUGGCCACCCUGCUACUUCUUAAAUCUUGAAUCUUAAUCUUGCUCUCUCUCUCCCUCUCUCCAAAUCACUCUGACCACAGCCUACAAAACACUCAACUCCAGCCUACGUGUUCAACAGCAGAUGCCCCCUUUGCAGCCCCUGAGCCUUGCAUCCACCUACCUUGGAGAUGCCUUGCAUCCUCAGAGAUGCCUCUCUGUGACUCACUUACUUCCCGGUCAUCUUCAAGGAACUAGCUGCAUUUAUUGGCCCCAUCAUAUUCCCUUUGAUUCUUGUGUCUCCAUCCCUUUACCACCCAACGUUACGGACAUGGUUUUCUAAAAAUGCCAAGGGACGAUCUAAAUGUCAACACUUCUGAUUCUAUGUUAGAAGCUGUUGACCCUGACUUUCAACUCCAAGCCCUUUUUUCCUUUGAAUCCCAUGACCCACACCUCUUCCCAUCCUUCUACUUCUCUGUCCAUUCCCUUGGGUAUUGCCAGUCUCCAAGUUUUCUUUCUCGCUCCUCUGGUCUCACUGUUUUCUUCUGCAGCAACCUCUGGACUCCUCUGGGAUUCCCCCCUCAACUGCCUGCACACUGAUGACACCAAAAUCUCUUUAUCCCCUGCUGCCCUGGGAACUUGACAUUGGUAUGUAGCUGCAAGGGAGCCAGGAGAUGCUUUUGAUGAGCCAAGAUUAGGGACAGCCAGGGUGGGGGUUUCAGAAAAACAGACUGAAAUGAGUUUUUGUGAAGGUAGGCAAUACAAUAUUCUUUUGAUUCCAUUUAGAUGGGAAACAGAAUUAAAUAAGAAACUCAAGACACUGUGGUUUUACUCACCCACUUUCUAGCCUGUCAUAGGUGCUUAAUGUUAGGUGCUGUUGAUUCAUUCGUUGUGCCUGUGUCCUUCUUUUUUUCUAUAUAAGAUGAGAGGAGUUCCCGUCGUGGCACAAUGUUAACAAAUCCGACUAGGA